CUGAUUUGUCGGGGAAAUUUUUCGUAGGAAGCUUGAGCUACAAAGCUAAUUUCGAAGUUACUUAUUCAAGUAUGGAGUCUGGUAAUCAAGACCAGAAGCCUGGUGCCAGAGAAAAUCGGGAAGAACUCAUGAAGAAAUUGCAUCAAAUUGAGUUGCAAAAUCUGGACCUCAAAAGGUCGUUGUGUUCAAAACAGAAAUCAAUUCAAAACAUCCGAGAUUUGAGAAAGUAAGUAAA